rnacentral:rRNA from 2 species
UUGCCCUAGUAACGGCGAGUGAAGCGGCAACAGCUCAAAUUUGAAAUCUGGCCCUUGGGUCCGAAUUGUAAUUUGUAGAGGAUGUUUUUGGUGCGGUAUCUUCCGAGUUCCUUGGAACAGGACGCCUUAGAGGGUGAGAGCCCCGUACGGUUGAAUGCCUAGCCUUUGUAAAACUCCUUCGACGAGUCGAGUAGUUUGGGAAUGCUGCUCUAAAUGGGAGGUAAAUUUCUUCUAAAGCUAAAUACCGGCCAGAGACCGAUAGCGCACAAGUAGAGUGAUCGAAAGAUGAAAAGCACUUUGAAAAGAGGGUUAAAUAGCACGUGAAAUUGUUGAAAGGGAAGGAUUUAUGACCAGACUUUUUCUAGGCGAAUCAUCCGGUGUUCUCACCGGUGCACUUCGUUUAGUUUAGGCCAGCAUCGAUUUUCGAGGCGGGAUAAAAGCUUCAGGAAUGUGGCUCUUUCGGGAGUGUUAUAGCCUGUUGUAUAAUACCGCCUUGGGGAUCGAGGUACGCGCUUCUGCAAGGAUGCUGGCGUAAUGGUUAUCAAUCACCCGUCUUGAAACACGGACCAAGGAGUCGAACAUUUGUGCGAGUGUUUGGGUGUUAAACCCUCACGCGUAAUGAAAGUGAACGGAGGUGAGAGCCCUUUACGGGGUGCAUCAUCGACCGAUCCUGAUGUCUUCGGAUGGAUUUGAGUAAGAGCAUAAAUGUUCGGACCCGAAAGAUGGUGAACUAUGCGUGGAUAGGGUGAAGCCAGAGGAAACUCUGGUGGAGGCUCGCAGCGGUUCUGACGUGCAAAUCGAUCGUCAAAUCUGCGCAUGGGGGCGAAAGACUAAUCG